CCAGGGCUUAAACUCCAGAUUUGAGUGGUGAGUGGUAGUUUAGAGAACAAACUAAGCUCAGCUUAAGGGUCAGUGUGUGACGUCCUCUCAGGCUGUUCCCUUAUCUCAUAGAGUCAGAAUUCCAGACUGCCCAGCACUUACGUUGCAAGGUUGCUUUGAGAGUUAAAUAAUUUAAUGGAUUAUAAAAUACCUAGUUAACUAUUUGGCCUCGAGCUGGAGCUCAAAAUGAAUCAAAAUUCUUAGUUUGGUUAUCUUAGUUUUGUGUUCUAUACUCAAGUCACAGUCUAUUUAGGAAUGGACUUUGAGGUAUGAUAUUAAUAUGUUUUACUAAGCUGAGCCACUGCCUGUAUUUCCAAUAGUUUGCUAAAUGCAAAUUCCUUUUGUAUAAAAAUAAUUUGUAAAAAAAAAUGAGGAUUAUUUUCCCAUCUUUGCUAGACUAUGUAUGAAUUCUUUCCUUUCUUCCAACCUUCCUUCCUUCCUUUCUUAUCCUUUCCUUUCCUUUUCUUUCAUUUUACAGAACCCUGACUGUUUUAGAACUCACUAUGUAGACUAGGCUGGCUUCAAAUUCACAGAGACCCAUCAGCCUAUGCCUCCUGAAUGCUGGGGUUAAAGGAGUGCACCACUACCAUGCCUGGCUAGAUUAUGAAUUCCUUAAAGUCAGGGACCUUGUCUCAUUUACAGCAGAACACUUUCUAACAUAUUAUAAUCUCAGUAGAAUUAAAGCUCUGUGUUCUUUAUGCUGACAGUGAGACACCACUUUUCAUAACAGCUAAAGUAGGAAUAGUUAAUGCCAGGGGCCUGAUUUGUCUGAGAUAGCUCUCACUGCCACCUCUUGAGGCCUUACUUGUCUGAGAUAGCUCACACUGCUACCUCCUUGGGGCUGGCUUUUAUUCCUUUAACAAAGUUAUUCCACUGGAGAGACCACUUGGUUUCAUAAAAUUACCACUUUCCCUGGCAACAACUAGUUUAGAGAGAUCACUGGGGAUGGGGGUAAAGAAAGCCCAACAAUAGAGUCAUAAUUUGAUGCCUUUUAACACAGACACAGAUACAGACACAGACACACACACACACACACACACACACACACACACACACACACACACUAUCUUUGGUACAAUUUCAAAAUGUUCUCAGGACCACUGAAGCCUUUGGCUCCUGGGUUAAGAAUGUUUAGAGUAGUCCCAAGCAAACUAGCAAAGUGAGAGCUCAGCCCUGACUAGCCCUCUCUUGUUGAAAACGAAACAAACAGACCAAUUCUAUAUUUAGCCUCAAGGUUAUCCCUGAGGCGGGGCCAGUUUUAGGCAUUAAUGCUAAAGGCUUGCAGCCAAGCAGCAACCACUCUUUGAAGAACUUGUGUUCUGCCCAGUAAAAUGAAGCUUUGUUUGAUAAUAUCGUUUACAUUUUCAAAUCCUGGGUAUCAGGCUUUCUUCCUAUCCCUUGUGGCCCUUCCUAAGUUUAGCUGCUGGUGUAAUGGGGUUACCAUGGCAACAACCACCUGCCUAUUUAAAACCAUCUCCCAUGCUAAAUAAGGAAGCCUAGAGAAAAUGGCUGCCUGCCUGCCUGCCUGCCUGCCUGCCUGCCUGCCUUUCUCUCAGUGGACAAGUUGAAUCCUCCUGGGUUUUUUGGAUACAGGCAAGCAAACAGGAUGGAGUAGCAUUGACCCAAAGUUCUCCAGAAGAAACGGCUGGUGGCUGUAAAACAGGCACUGCCUCUGAACAACUGCAUUUCUCAAGCAAGCACAGGGACUUAAAUUCAAGUCCAUAUGCCUGUCAUCUCUACCAGGGGCAACAUGGGGCCUGAACCCCAGCACUGUAGCAGUCAUCCUGCUAAUGGGACCUGGGAAGUGGGAAGCAGAAGGUGGAGAGGCCAUGGUGAAUUCCUGCACUGAGGUGCAUGCUGUGAUUUUUUUUUUUUCCUCCUGGACAGAUCUGUCUUUCUAAUUGGACUUAAUAACAUGAUUUUCUGAUGCUCUAUUUAGCUCAUAUGUUGCUCUGCCUCAAUUUUCAGAACGUGGAGAAACUUCAUCUUUUGCUUCCUUAUUCUCUAAAAACAACAGAGCUGACUUCCUUCCCACAGCAAGAGUCCGUGCAACAGCUGCGCCAAGGGCUUCUUCCCUCGCACGCUGUGCCUUAGCACUUUAUGUUCAGGCACAUCUGGUUUUCUCUCUGCGGACAGCCCUUCUUUUUUUUAUCAAGUUGUAAAAAACGUAUUCUUGAUUUUUUUUUUUUUUAUCCCCGAUGUGGCAUCUUUGCCAUUAGAAAGCCCUCCAUGCCAGCUCCAUUUUCUUGCUUUGUGUUCUCUUAGGUCUCCUCUGUGCAGACACAUCACUUCAUACACACUGGUAAUCACCCUGCUUUUCAGUCUGUUUCCAGUGGGGUUGCAGAGGGCAGCGGGCAGUGAGUUCUGGGUCAUCUGUCCCAAACACUUAAUAGCAUGUAGUCUCCAGUAUAUUUUCAAAAGAUGUUUUUGAGCGAGUGAGUGAAUGAGUGAGUGAGCAAAUGAACAAAUGAGUGAGUGAAUGAAUGAGUGAACAAGCCAAUGAGUGAAUGAAUGAAUGAGCAAGUGAAUGAGUGAGUGAGUGGAUGAGCAGGUAAGUGGGUAAGUGAGUGAAUGUAUGAAUGAGAGAGUGAGGAAGUGAAUGAGUGAAUGAGCAGAACCCAUGGGUUUCCCAGACACAUGCACCUGAGAACCUGUGAGGGUAUUGGGUGUAAAGAAGACACUAAAAGUCUGUAGAAUGGGUAGAAUGAGAGAUUUUUUGUUGUUGUUGUUUUGUUCACUUUUUUUCCAAAAGCAGUCCUGAGGCUGCUAUUCCACUGGGAUGAGCAUCUGUCUGCCUUUCUGGGAGAAGAGAGGACACAGGUUUGGUUCUUUUUGUAGAGGAAGAACAAGAGGAUGGACGAGGCAGAAAUAAAUAUUAUUUGUGUGGGAAACAGGCAGACUUCUGCCAAAAGGUUCAAGUCGGGGCCACUUCCUGAAGAGGCCACAGCACACCUCCACACAUCCUAUGUAGAUGAUCAAGAAGGGCCUGUUCCCGUAUGAGCACCACUUCUAAAGGGAAGGACUGUCCAGGCACCAAGAGGACCAAGCUGGGCGGGCGGUCCUGAAACAGCUUAGUAACAACAGCAGCGUGCCAGGCCAGGUCCUCAGACAGCGGAGAAGGGGAGCCUAUGGACACAGCAUCCUUGAACAUCAAGGAAGAAACGAGCUGGCCCAGAGUUGGGACACAAAGAGAAAUCCCCCAAAGUGGUUAUUCUCAAAAGGCCACCACUCCAUGCUGCCUGGCCCAUCAAUGGAGCUCAAGGUCACCUCAGAAAAAGACUUGAAGAGGCGAAACAAGAAGCUUCGAAACCAGCACGUAAACUACCUAUUGUCAGGAGAUCUGGUCUCUUGAGAAAGGUUCCUUCUGGCACCUACUUAUCUCUGAGCCUACACCACAUGCCUGCUAAGGGUGCAGACUCUCAAUAGUCACAAUACCAAUGAUCUCAAAGCUUUGGGCACAACUGAACUUGGGUUUUAUGCCUGUCAUCUUUUCUUGUCAUUAACAAAUUUGUAUUUGACUUUUAAACAUCUUAAAGCUUGCCUACUUUCCCAGUGUAAAUAGGACUCUUCCAUGUAAAUACUUUAAUAAAAUAUGAUAGUGGUUUAAAAAUAGUGGUUGCAUGCAUGCCCGGGGGUGAUGAGGUGGAGGAAGGGUUGUCAUUGCCCAUUGGUGACUAUAGACAACAAGGGCUGGCAAGACAUGUUUGUAGUAUGCUGUGGGUCCAGGGUCUGAGUGAGACCGAAUGUCACCCUAAUACAGUUCAGAUGCUGUUAGAUCCGGGUUUGACAUUACCUCACUGUUCUCAGCCUCUUCCUGGUAUAGCUCCCAGGCUGUGGAGUCAGGGGCUGAGCUGGUAGGGAAAUGUCCUCAAAUAACACCCGAACUUCUGCUUUGAGGAGAAUUCUGCGGCCUCACGCAAUAGCAACCCGUGAGGUUCAAAGAUCAAGCCCAAGUCAUUAUCCCACUGCUGCCCACCUGCCUGGGGCUAGGCGUGGAAUCCAGGCAUGAUCUUCAAAUCAGUACAACAAAGACGAUAGCGUCAUAGAAGAGAGAGAAAUGAGCAAGAAAAGGAAAAUGGACAACUCCAUGAAAUGGAAACCCUCCUUCCGGCAACGUGGCAGGAAAGCGAAGUCCCCUGGCGGUCGACCCAGGCCAAGGACAUUUCCGUGGUAGCAGGGUGUUUCUCUCUCAUCAUAUGGAAUCUGUGUGCAAUUGAAGCAUCCUGGAAACGGAAGAAAAGAAGGCAAGAAAAGCCUGGUUAGUGAUUGUGGCCAUGAGGUAUGGUGGGAAGACACACAUAUAUGCCCCUGGAAGGCCCAGAUUCCAGAGACUCCAAAUCAUAGGGGCACAGCACCGCGUCCAGGCGUAAGCUAGUGCCACCACUCCGUCCUUUGAGAGCCUCACUUGGUUGCCUCAGAGCCUGGCACUCAUCACAGUAUCUCAAGCCCAGUGAGUGGCCACAGUUCAGCCUUUGUAAACACAGGCAAGAGCAGGCUCUAAAGAGAAGAGUGAGGGGCUCUCCUCAGGUGAAGCCAGAAGCCAGUGAGGAGUGGGUGAGGUGUGGUGAGGUGUGGUGUGGUGUGGUGUGGUGUGGUGUGGUGUGGUGUGGUGUGGUGAUGGGUGGUGACAUAAAGUGAGGACUAUUUCAUGAGAAGUUGCAAAAAUAGUACUUUUUCUCAUGUCCCACUCACCCAGCGUCCAGCGAUGAUAACAUCUUAUAUAACAGCACAUUAUCAAACCCAAAGCUGUCGCUGGUAUUAACUCUUUGUUGUCUGUUUCACCCAAAACAAUUAACAAUAGUACUGGAUAGUGCGUUUAGCAGACAACAAAAGUGUAUUAAACGUCUAACUUCUGCCUAUUAAUCAUUCUAUCCACAGGACUGCCUCUGAAGCUAGCGACAAUCUUGAUCCUUUCCUAUCCAAUCUGUUGCCCCACCCCCCACUUUGGCUGCAUGGCUGGCUAUCUGUACCACAGAACUCACCACGACGCUCCAUGACACUGUGUUUCUGGGUGUCCCAUUUCUCAGGUUGGAACCAGAGUCCAGCCCAGAGUCCUAUCUGCAUCCCACACUCCCAUUACAGCUAUCUGUGAGUGCUCAUGGUUGUGACUGGUGUUGACAUGGUGGGGCUCCAGGACCUAUAGGCCAGAAUAGGAUCCAAGCUGAACUCGGUUCUUCACUCUUAGCCUCCUGCACCUCCUAACGAGCCCAGCAGAAGAGUGUGUACUGCCCCCUUAUCACACAGUCCCAAUCGAGCACUGUGGAGGCAGAUGCUGAACACUCGAAAUUAACUAACUAAUUGGUUGGAGACAGGACAGCCCAGAAACAAGGAGCUGAUUUAGAUUUGCCCAGAAGUGACUGCAGCAGCCAAUCAGAAAUCUCUGGGGAUGCUGGGGUAUCCCUGUAGUCUCAGCAUGUGGAUAGAGUGAGGCAGGAGGAUUUAGAGUUCAAGGCUAGCCUGGACUACAAGGUGGUACUAUAUCUCAAUGAACCUACCCACUCACACGCCUACCUAACAACCAACAAUCAACAAAUAAAUAACCAACAAAAAUC